rnacentral:lncRNA from 1 species
GGCUGCCGCCCUUCCCCCACCCACGCCGGCGGGAGCCGCCCGUUCGCGCUGCCAGCAGCUUCCGCCUGCUACGGUCCUGGCAAGCACCUCGGGAUCCCAUUCCUUCACAGGGACCCUAGCCAGUUAAAGCUGAUACAUUCCUGUGGGUCAACUAUGCAACUAACUCAGAUUUUGAGCAAACAAAGCUCUCAAGUUGGUGAUCCUCAGGAGUCUCUGCAUUAGUUGGACAGCUCUUCUGGAAUUAUCUUCUAAGUCAACUGUGGGUUGGGUAGGUGGCUCUGCUGAUUUUUCGCUGGACUUCCACAUUUGGGACGAGUUGGCUGUCAUCAGCUCUAGAAAGGGUGUGGCCGUUUUACAUUGGCUGUUUUCCUCACAUUCCUCAAGCAGAUAACUGAUACCGUGCUUCCAGAAGAUUUUUCUAACAGUGUUUGCAAGCUAUAAAAUAGUGCUUUCACUUAGAAAAGGCUAGACGUGGUGGUUCAUGCCUGUAAUCCCAGCACUUUGAGAGGCCGAGGCACCAUGCUGGGAGAUAAGGAUCCAACAUAAGACAAACAGUGCUGAUGCUUUUGGAAAGCUCAUAUUCAAGCUGGGGAGACAAACAACAUACAAGUGGCUGUAGCUACCUUCUGCAUAUGGAUAUCCAGUUUUCCCAGCACCACUUAUUAAAGAGACUGUCUUUUCUGCAGUGUAUAUUCUUGGCACCGUUGUUGAAAAUGAAUUCAUUGUAGGAGGGCUCUGAGAGAUUUCAUUUCUGUCCUGCUGAUGAAGUCUACGUUCAUUCAGGGCCUGCUGUGGAAGACCAGCCCCAAAGUUGCUGAACAGAAGACUUUUGAGAGUCAGCAGAAAUCUUCCACUUUGCAUGGUUCUCUUGAUGUGAAAUCAUCUAUAUAGCCCCAGAAUUGGAAAA